rnacentral:rRNA from 1 species
CCUACGGGGGGCAGCAGUGGGGAAUAUUGGACAAUGGGCGAAAGCCUGAUCCAGCCAUGCCGCGUGUGUGAAGAAGGCCUUCGGGUUGUAAAGCACUUUCAGUGGGGAAGAAAGCCUUGGGGCUAAUACCCUCGAGGAAGGACAUCACCCACAGAAGAAGCACCGGCUAACUCCGUGCCAGCAGCCGCGGUAAUACGGGGGGUGCGAGCGUUAAUCGGAAUUACUGGGCGUAAAGCGCGCGUAGGCGGUCUGAUAAGCCGGUUGUGAAAGCCCCGGGCUCAACCUGGGAACGGCAUCCGGAACUGUCAGGCUAGAGUGCAGGAGAGGAAGGUAGAAUUCCCGGUGUAGCGGUGAAAUGCGUAGAGAUCGGGAGGAAUACCAGUGGCGAAGGCGGCCUUCUGGACUGACACUGACGCUGAGGUGCGAAAGCGUGGGUAGCAAACAGGAUUAGAUACCCCGGUAGUC